ACUCCUACGGGAGGCAGCAGUGGGGAAUAUUGCACAAUGGGCGCAAGCCUGAUGCAGCCAUGCCGCGUGUAUGAAGAAGGCCUUCGGGUUGUAAAGUACUUUCAGCAGUGAGGAAGGUGGGUAUGUUAAUAGCAUAUUCAUUUGUACGUUAGCUGCAGAAGAAGCACCGGCUAACUCCGUGCCAGCAGCCGCGGUAAUACGGAGGGUGCGAGCGUUAAUCGGAAUUACUGGGCGUAAAGCGCAUGCAGGUGGUUUGUUAAGUCAGAUGUGAAAGCCCGGGGCUCAACCUCGGAAUUGCAUUUGAAACUGGCAAACUAGAGUACUGUAGAGGGGGUAGAAUUUCAGGUGUAGCGUGAAAUGCGUAGAGAUCUGAAGGAUACCGGUGGCGAAGCGGCCCCUGGACAGAUACUGACACUCAGAUGCGAAAGCGUGGGAGCAAACAGGAUUAGAU
rnacentral:rRNA from 1 species